rnacentral:lncRNA from 1 species
GUGCAAAUUUUAUUUUCAGUACCUUCAAAAUAAAAAUUUACUUAUUUAGUUCAACUAGAGAUGAUCAUGGCUCGACCUACGCAAAUCCUUACUUAACAGGCGAGCUCCAUAGCAAGAGAGCAUAACACAACCACAAUCCACAUGGUUGUGGGGUUUAGCUAGAAAGGGAUCUCACCUAAGAAAUCUUGUAGUUUGUUGGAAUGAUCAUGGAGCUGGUUGGAAUGUAGGGCAUCAGGGAUAUUCGCUGAGCUUGAUCGGGUUGAUUCUCAAUGCCAAAUUUUGUAUCAAUCAUAUCAUUCAUGUCCGUGCCAUUAAGGGGUGCAUGGCAGAGGCAUAUAGCAAAACAUAAGACGUGAUAUGGUGUUAUGGUCCACUCGUGCACGCAGAGCAGUUGUCCAUAGGUAUACUUUCAUGUAGUUUGUGGAGUUU